rnacentral:rRNA from 1 species
UUCCUACGGGAGGCAGCAGUGGGGAAUAUUGCACAAUGGGGGAAACCCUGAUGCAGCGACGCCGCGUGAAGGAAGAAGUAUUUCGGUAUGUAAACUUCUAUCAGCAGGGAAGAAAGUGACGGUACCUGACUAAGAAGCCCCGGCUAACUACGUGCCAGCAGCCGCGGUAAUACGUAGGGGGCAAGCGUUAUCCGGAUUUACUGGGUGUAAAGGGAGCGUAGGCGGCGAUGCAAGUCAGAAGUGAAAGCCCGGGGCUCAACUCCGGGACUGCAUUUGAAACUGUCAGGCUGGAGUGCAGGAGAGGC